rnacentral:snRNA from 1 species
ACAAUCCAUCGUAUACUAAAUUGGGACGAUACAGAGAGGAUUAGCAAUGGUCCCUGCGGAAGGAUGACACGCAAACUCGUGAAGAAUUCCACAUUUUU